GAAUAAAAGUCAAAAAAGAGACAAAUUAUUGUUAAUAAUUUUAAUGAAAAUAAUCUUAUUCAAG
rnacentral:tRNA from 1 species